AGCUUUUCCUGCCUCUUGAUGUUUGCUAAUCUGUUAGGUGAAAGCAGCACCUCUUACGUUUAGCACUUCAUUGUCUCGUUCGCGCAUUGGUAUUUCCUGUCAGUUACCUUCCGGGGAACCAUCUGCCUGUGCGUUCGGCCCUUUCUCUGCUGGCCGUAGGCUUUCUCUUAUCUGCGGACAGGGGCUCUUUGUAUACUGACAAAAUUAGCCCCUCGGCGGGGCGGUGAGUUGGAAGUAUUUCUUCCCAGUCUGUCUCUUGCCUUCCCUUAUCUUGCUUUUUUUUUUUUCCAUGCAGGAUUUUCCCCCUUUCCUGUGGUUUGUUUUAUUGAUUUAUUUUUAUGGCUGCUGAGGUUUUCUGUCACGUACAGAGAAGUGCGGUGGGCAGGGCAUGGGCUCUGGACUCAGACCUACCCUUGCCACUCCCUGGCGGUGCACGUUGCAUAACCACUUGGUCAACGCGGGGUAAGAAUGCCUGGGGGGUGGGGAGGUGUAUAAGCACCUGCCUGUGGCCCUCAGGCACCGGGCUUCUUUCCCCGGGCUCUGCCUGGGCAGUUUGGGGUAGGCCAUGUGCACCUGUAAAGCUUGAGACCUGCGGGUCUGGCCCUUCCUCUGAUCCUUCUCCUGGAAAGUAUUUUGGGAACCAGAGACACAACGAGCUGUACAUUUGGCUCUGUCUUUCGGGCAAUCGAAGAUGCAGACAUCGUGCCUGCCUGUCACGCACCAGAACGUGUGUGUGGCCGUGGAGGACACCCUCCGGGGACAGCCCGUGCCCCGGGAUCACCAGGAAGGAGAGCGUGGCCGCUUCCCACGGAGCUGGCCGCUGAGGCGACCCGCCGGCUGUGUGGGCUGAAAGCCUGUCUGAGUCCCAGUGACGGGGAAUGUGGGGGAGGGGAUGCCAACACACGUCCCCUUUCCAUCUUACCAACGUGACAUCCACACCCAAGUGUCCCUGAAGAGAGGUUAUGCUGUAUGGGAUGCAAAUGUGAGUUUAGGGUUUUUGACUUUCUAUGUCUUUCCGGAGCAACUUGUACGUUAUUGGACAACAGGGGAACGAGUCAGAGGCUUGGAAACGGGAAACUACAUAAGGCCUAAGUGGAAGGAGAAAUUUUUAUUAAGGCAGAAGUUGGAUUGUGUGGGAUUUUAGAAAGCGUGGUGGGCUUUGGACCGGGACCCCAGAGGGAGAGGAGCCAUAGAGUUAUUUGUGGUAGCGUUCCAAGAAGGAGGGCACGAGACCCCGCAGAGAAAGCUGCUUCUAUCGAGAACUGUUCCAACUAGAGCUGUGCUGAACCCCUGUCAGAGAGGAUUCUAUACUACUAGGGCCGGGACUGUGUGUGGCUAGCCAACGUGGAGAGUUGAUAGUCUGAAACACAAAAAAGACACGUGUUAGGAUCCCCAGAGAGAAAUUCCUGUUUGGUCUUAAAACCAGGAACAGUGGUCUUUGUCCCAAAUUCUCUUGGUUUGUUUGUUCCUUGUGGGUACCGGAACUGACCCCCGUGUCCUUUUCACGGGUGGCCAGAGCACAGAGCAUCAAAGCUGUCACCCACCCACAUGUGUGGUGUUCAUUCUUUGCUAUAUCUUCCUCUUUGGGCGAACUUGGCUCCCCUGUUGGCAGGGGCUGCCCUUCCGAGGCAGUGUACUGGUCCCUGCCCACCAGCUCAGCCAAUCACAACCAGCCUCCCUUGGGGCGUUGGUCCUGGGGAGCCAAUCAGAGCCCUUCCCUGGGAUUCUAACUGGAGCUGACCAAGCCCUCUCCCUCCCCACCCCAGUGCUAAAAGGCUUCCACCUGGAGCUGCGCCCACUCAGGGGACAGUAGCCUGAGGGACUGAGUACAGCUCUCAAGGAGAAUUAGGGAAGGGAGGACAUGGAACCCUUAGUCCCCAUCACUCCAAGACCAUUUCUUCCUCUCCCUCGCCCACUGAGCCAACAACAUUCCCAUCUUUGCUUAAGAUAGAGUUGGAUUCCUGUCUCUUGUAAGACAAGGUGUUAGCUAAUGAAGUUCUCUCUUUUAAUUAACCUAAUCUUGUUAUUCUUUCCAGAGCAGGGUGGGGAGGAAAAGACAAAGGCAGGAAGGGAGGAGAGAAGCAAAGAAGGAAGGGAAGGCUGUGUAAGCAGAGUUUGUAGCUGAUAAAAGUGCCUGUUAUCUAGCUGUUACAGCCUGAACCCCCUUGCCCCUUGGCCAACCUCUUUGCUGUGGUCAGGUAGCCCUGGCCCUCGUGACCAGCGGCCUCCCAGAGGACCUACAGGACCGUGGCAUUCAUUCCCAAGCCCGUUCUGGAUAUCUGUGGGAAACGGAGGUUCCGAUGAGCAUCUCUUUGUGUUUUUAAGUCCAGAUGCACAAAGUGGCUACUCUUCGGGCGACCAGAGAUCACAAAAUGCCCUGCCUCAUAUUCUUCCUCUGUUCCGCUUUCGCGGAGAGCAAGCCCGCAAAAAGCAGCGUUGGAAUAGCCCGCUGGGAAGAUCUGCAUCUGUUCUCACGAUGUUCCUAUUGCUCGAGAUAUUUUGGAACUCCUUCUAAACGUUUUUGAAAGUUGAGGGCCCCUUGCGAGCUGUGAAGAGCAGAAUAUUUGUGCAAGUACCGAGCAAAACCGUCCGCACCGGAGAGGCACAUAAAAGAUCCCGUGAAAACGUUUGCCGACGGCAGGGUGAAAUUCCCACGUCAGCCUCUGUCCACAUCUCACCCGCCAGUCGGGGUGGCUCUGAUUGACCCUGGUUAAUGAAAACUGGGGUCAGUUUCAGGCUGAACUGCUUGCGCCCCAGGGAUUGCCCAGUGCAUCUCUCUCUCUCCCUUUUUAAACAAAGAACCAGUAACUUCA